rnacentral:misc_RNA from 1 species
GAUGAAGAACGUAGCGAAAUGCGAUAAGUAAUGUGAAUUGCAGAACUCAGUGAAUCAUCGAAUCUUUGAACGCACAUUGCGCCCGCCAGUAUUCUGGCGGGCAUGCCUGUUCGAGCGUCAUUUCAACCAUCAAGCCCCAGGCUUGUGUUGGGGACCUGCGGCUGCCGCAGGCCCUGAAAACCAGUGGCGGGCUCGCUGUCACACCGGGCGUAGUAGAUUUUAUCUCGCUCAGGGCGUGCUGCGGGUUCCGGCCGUUAAAAAGCCUUUUUUACCCAAGGUUGACCUCGGAUCAGGUAGGAAGACCCGCUGAACUUAAGCAUAUCAAUAAGCGGAGGA